GAUGAAGAACGCAGCGAAAUGCGAUACUUGGUGUGAAUUGCAGAAUCCCGCGAAUCAUCGAGUUUUUGAACGCAAGUUGCGCCCGAAGCCAUUCGGCCGAGGGCACGUCUGCCUGGGUGUCACGCAUCGUUGCCCCCCCAAACUCCGGUUCGGGCGGGGCGGAAGUUGGCCUCCCGUGCGUGCCUGCGCGCGCGGUUAACCCAAAAGCGAGUCCUCGGCGACGAGCGCCACGACAAUCGGUGGUUUUUUUACCCUCGUUCCUCGUCGUGCGUGCCCCGUCGCCCGAACGCGCUCUUGCGACCCUUACGCGUCGCCUCGGCGGCGCUCCCAACGCGACCCCAGGUCAGGCGGGACUACCCGCUGAGUUUAAGCAUAUCAAUAAGCGGAGGA
rnacentral:misc_RNA from 1 species